UACGGGGGGGGCAAGCGUUGUUCGGAAUUACUGGGCGUAAAGGGCUCGUAGGCGGCCAACUAAGUCAGACGUGAAAUCCCCAGGCUCAACCUGGGAACUGCGUCUGAUACUGGAUGGCUUGAAUUCGGGAGAGGGAUGCAGAAUUCCAGGUGUAGCGGUGAAAUGCGUAGAUAUCAGGAGGAACACCGGUGGCGAAGGCGGGAUCCUGGGCCAGUACUGACGCUGAGGAGCGAAAGCGUGGGGAGCAAACAGG
rnacentral:rRNA from 1 species